UGUUACAGCAUUUUUCCAUUAACAAGCUCACAACCAGCCAUUUUUGACCAAAGCACGACCACUGUGCUAAGAUAGCGGGAUCCAAGUUCAGAUCAUCAACCAACCACUAUGCCAAAACCAGCCCACCUCUGUGGAUUUUCAACACUUUGAGUUGAACUUAAAGAUGAUUCUCCUCGAGAGUGACUCCUGGACCCUGAAAAUUGUGAAGCCAUCCUGUCAUACUUCAAAUUCAAGCUUUGCCACCCAGCAGGUGUCUGAUCUGGAAGCCCCAGAGAAAAGUAUGGGAAAAAUCACACCAGAAAAUCAUACAGUUGGGAUUGCAUGUUGCUGAAACCAAAACUAGGAUUUGCCCAGAAAUUUCUCAGACAUUGAAGACACAUCAAAGAACUCAGACAAGCUCCCUGUUCUCCUAGAACUUGUUUAACUUCAGCAGAGGAAGACCCAUCCUGCAAGUGUAAACUAACAUAUGAACAAGAAAAUCUU